CCUACGGGCGGCAGCAGUGGGGAAUAUUGCACAAUGGGGGAAACUCUGAUGCAGCGACGCCGCGUGAGUGAAGAAGUAUUUCGGUAUGUAAAGCUCUAUCAGCAGGGAAGAAAAUGACGGUACCUGACUAAGUAGCCACGGAGAACUACGUGCCAGCAGCCGCGGUAAUACGGAGGGGGCAAGCGUUAUCCGGAUUUACUGGGUGUAAAGGGAGCGUAGACGGUGAGUCAAGUCAGAUGUGAAAGCCCGGGGCUCAACCCCGGGACUGCAUUUGAAACUGUGUGACUGGAGUGCAGGAGAGGUGAGCGGAAUUCCUGGUGUAGCGGUGAAAUGCGUAGAUAUCACGAGGAACUCCAGUGGCGAAGGCAGCUUACUGGACUGUAACUGACGUUGAGGCUCGAAAGCGUGGGGAGCAAACAGGAUUAGAUACCCCUGUAGUC
rnacentral:rRNA from 1 species